rnacentral:pre_miRNA from 1 species
CUAACUCAGAUUUGUAUGGAACUUAGAAUAGUUUUCCUUCGUUUGCCGCCAGGGGCGCUGUUCCAACUCCAUACAAAUUUGAGUUA